UCCGAACUCGGAAGUUAAGACCUCCAGCGCCGAUGAUACUGCAAGUUCACUUGUGGGAAAGUAGGUCGUCGCCAGGA
rnacentral:rRNA from 1 species